ACUCAGGAUGAACGCUAGCGGCAGGCCUAAUACAUGCAAGUCGAGGGGUAACAGGGAAGCUUGCUUCCGCUGACGACCGGCGCACGGGUGCGUAACGCGUAUGCAACCUACCCACAACUGGAGCAUAGCCCGGAGAAAUCCGGAUUAAUACUCCAUAAUGCAGGGGUACCUCCUGGUACUAUUUGCUAAAGAUUUAUCGGUUGUGGAUGGGCAUGCGUCUGAUUAGUUUGUUGGUGAGGUAACGGCUCACCAAGACCACGAUCAGUAGGGGGUCUGAGAGGAUGAUCCCCCACACUGGCACUGAGAUACGGGCCAGACUCCUACGGGAGGCAGCAGUAGGGAAUAUUGGGCAAUGGGCGAGAGCCUGACCCAGCCAUGCCGCGUGAAGGAUGAAGGCCUUCUGGGUUGUAAACUUCUUUUAUAUAGGAAGAAAAAGGUCAUGCGUGACCAAUUGACGGUACUAUAUGAAUAAGCACCGGCUAACUCCGUGCCAGCAGCCGCGGUAAUACGGAGGGUGCAAGCGCUGUCCGGAUUUAUUGGGUUUAAAGGGUGCGUAGGCGGUGCGUUAAGUCAGUGGUGAAAUCCCGCAGCUCAACUGCGGAACUGCCAUUGAUACUGGCGCACUUGAGUACGGACGAGGUAGGCGGAAUUUAUGGUGUAGCGGUGAAAUGCAUAGAUACCAUAAAGAACACCGAUAGCGAAGGCAGCUUACUAGACCGUAACUGACGCUCAGGCACGAAAGCGUGGGGAGCGAACAGGAUUAGAUACCCUGGUAGUCCACGCCGUAAACGAUGAUCACUCGAUGUGUGCAAUACACCGUACGCGUCCAAGCGAAAGCGUUAAGUGAUCCACCUGGGGGAGUACGUUGGGCAACAAUGGAAACUCAAAGGGAAUUGACGGGGGGUCCGCACAAACCGUUGGAGCAUGGUGGUUUAAAUUCCAUUGAUACGCCGAGGAACCCUUACCUGGGGCUCGAAUGGGUACCUGGAAUCUUUCCAGAAAAUGGGUUGAAGUCUUUCCGGACCGGGUAUCAAAGGUGCUUGCAUGGGCUUGUCGUUCAGGCUCUGUGA
rnacentral:rRNA from 1 species